AGAGUUUGAUCCUGGCUCAGGAUGAACGCUAGCUACAGGCUUAACACAUGCAAGUCGAGGGGAAACGACAUCGAAAGCUUGCUUUUGAUGGGCGUCGACCGGCGCACGGGUGAGUAACGCGUAUCCAACCUGCCCACCACUUGGGAAUAACCUUGCGAAAGUAAGACUAAUACCCAAUGACGUCUCUAGAAGACAUCUGAAAGAGAUUAAAGAUUUAUCGGUGAUGGAUGGGGAUGCGUCUGAUUAGCUUGUUGGCGGGGUAACGGCCCACCAAGGCAACGAUCAGUAGGGGUUCUGAGAGGAAGGUCCCCCACAUUGGAACUGAGACACGGUCCAAACUCCUACGGGAGGCAGCAGUGAGGAAUAUUGGUCAAUGGACGAGAGUCUGAACCAGCCAAGUAGCGUGCAGGAAGACGGCCCUAUGGGUUGUAAACUGCUUUUAUAAGGGAAUAAAGUGAGUCUCGUGAGACUUUUUGCAUGUACCUUAUGAAUAAGUACCGGCUAAUUCCGUGCCAGCAGCCGCGGU
rnacentral:rRNA from 1 species